rnacentral:rRNA from 1 species
AUUGAACGCUGGCGGCAGGCUUAACACAUGCAAGUCGAGCGGGGUGAUGGUGCUUGCACUAUCACUUAGCGGCGGACGGGUGAGUAAUGCUUAGGAAUCUGCCUAUUAGUGGGGGACAACAUCUCGAAAGGGAUGCUAAUACCGCAUACGUCCUACGGGAGAAAGCAGGGGAUCACUUGUGACCUAUCGCUAAUAGAUGAGUCUAAGUCGGAUUAGCUAGUUGGUGGGGUAAAGGCCUACCAAGGCGACGGUCUGUAGCGGGUCUGAGAGGAUGAUCCGCCACACUGGGACGGAGACACGGCCCAGACUCCUACGGGAGGCAGCAGUGGGGAAUAUUGGACAAUGGGGGGAACCCUGAUCCAGCCAUGCCGCGUGUGUGAAGAAGGCCUUAUGGUUGUAAAGCACUUUAAGCGAGGAGGAGGCUCUUUUGGUUAAUACCCAAGAUGAGUGGACGUUACUCGCAGAAUAAGCACCGGCUAACUCUGUGCCAGCCGCCGCAGUAA